rnacentral:lncRNA from 1 species
UUUAGGAUACUUAUAUGGAAUAUUCUAGAAUGUCGUAGAACAUGGAGGUUGAUGCCUAUAAAUAGGGGAAGACCUCCUCAUUUGUAGGAUGUACAAAGAGGAGUGAAGCAAAGUGUGAGCCCAAGUGUGUACCAAAGUGGUCCUUUGUGUAAUAAAAAUUGAAGAAUUACAAAAGUCUCUCUCCAUAUAGCUACAUAUAUUAAAUCUUCCAAACUACCUCCAUUUCUUCAUUUAUCAACUAAACAAAAUCUCUUUCCUUCUUACAUUUAAAGGUCUUCUAUCUUUAAAUUGUUCUCCUACAUCUGGUAUCAGAGUCAUUGGUUCGUUAGGAGGGUGAUUCAUUAACUAUGGUAGGAAAGAAUAUCGUGUGCAUGGAUCCCAAGUUGACGGGGAAACAAAAUUAUAACUUUUGGAGGAUUCAGAUGGAGACACAUCUGAAGGCGUAUAAUUUGUUAAAAUAUACGCGAGAAGAACUGGAGGAAGGUGCCGAAGAGAAUGAAAUNNNNN